UACGUAGGGUGCAAGCGUUGUCCGGAAUUAUUGGGCGUAAAGAGCUCGUAGGCGGUCUGUCGCGUCUGCUGUGAAAACCUAGGGCUUAACUCUGGGCGUGCAGUGGGUACGGGCAGGCUAGAGUGCGGUAGGGGAGACUGGAAUUCCUGGUGUAGCGGUGAAAUGCGCAGAUAUCAGGAGGAACACCGGUGGCGAAGGCGGAUCUCUGGGCCAUUACUGACGCUGAGGAGCGAAAGCGUGUGGAGCGAACAGG
rnacentral:rRNA from 1 species